UUUUUACAAUGAAGAGUUUGAUCCUGGCUCAGGAUGAACGCUAGCGGCAGGCUUAACACAUGCAAGUCGAGGGGCAGCGGGUGUAGCAAUACAUGCCGGCGACCGGCGCACGGGUGAGUAACGCGUAUGUAA
rnacentral:rRNA from 1 species